rnacentral:rRNA from 1 species
UACGUAGGGGGCAAGCGUUGUCCGGAAUUACUGGGCGUAAAGCGCGCGUAGGCGGAUAAUUAAGUCAGAUGUGAAAACUCUGGGCUCAACCGAGAGCAUGCAUCUGAUACUGGUUAUCUUGAGUGCAGGAGAGGAGAGUGGAAUUCCUAGUGUAGCGGUGAAAUGCGUAGAUAUUAGGAGGAACACCAGUGGCGAAGGCGACUCUCUGGCCUGCAACUGACGCUGAGGCGCGAAAGCGUGGGGAGCGAACAGGAUUAGAUACCCUGGUAGUCCACGCCGUAAACGAUGGGUACUAGGUGUUGGGGGUUUCGAUGCCCUCAGUGCCGGAGUAAACACAUUAAGUACCCCGCCUGGGGAGUACGGUCGCAAGACUGAA